GUGUAACAACUUUUUCUGACCAAAGUUAAGGCAGAUGCCUCACAUGUUAGCUGAUGUGCCAUGCUUGGUAUUUCAAGCCAUGUGCAACGGUCGUACAUUUCCCUAAAAUCAGAAAACUUGAAUAUGCUGGUGAAAGUUGUUUUUUUCUAUACACUUUUUUCCAACUACCUUCAUAGGAGGCUUCUAAUGCAAACCUAACAGCUUCAACACUUACAACUACUUCUCAACUGCGAAAGUGAGAAUAUCUGUAAAUGUGAAGUUUUAGGGGCUGAAAUGGGAUCAACCCUAUUUUUGGUGAGCGCUAUGCCAAAUCAUCGAGCAAACCUAUGCUUUCUUUGUGCUCUUAGGACAUAUGAUGACAACGAAAAUAUUUUUAAUGAUCUUAUUUAUUUUUAAUAUAUCAGAAUUGAGAUUAAUGUGUAUGAUUUGUUCUGAGUGAAACGAUGCACUGUGUAAACUCAUUUCAAAACUUGGAUUUGCAAGAGCCUCGUGAUUUUAGCAAUAAGAAAAUGCCCGUUGUGUUAAAUGUGAAAGACUUAACAAUAGUCAGCCAAUGUUAGAAACACUACAUUAGAGUCAGUACAUUAGAUGCCAAAUGUUUUCCCUGUAAAUUGUUGUUCUGAAUGCAAUAGGAUAUACUUGGAUUGUACACCAUUUUGUUUCUUUGUGCAAAUAGAAAUGUAUGUAGUAAUUUCAAGUAGUGUAUGGUCAUCUGUCUAUUCUAGUUGUCAUUUUGUGGGGCAUUUUCUUAUAGCCAAGAAGUUUUCCUUCAUUCCAUAAAAACUGGAUAUUGCUUUUAGAGAAUAAACUUGCCAAAAGAAAGAUAGAUGAAAGCAGACAUUCAUUGGGAUAUGAUCUGCUAUGCUCACUGGAUAACUUGAUUUCAAUGCACAAGGCCCAUUUCUGCAGUCAACAACUUACAUUUUUGGGCACUUUUUUGGGGUUCAAAUGAUAACUAUUAUUUGAAAGAAUUUGAGAGGUUUUGGCCUCUUCACCAGUGCACAUGUUACGUUUUAUGAUGCUGUGUAUAAUAACCUGUUUGAUGAGGGGGAAAAGCCAAGUCUGGUCUGAAUUUACCUUCAGCAAAAAACACGCCAAGAACCACAGCACAACAUAUUUUCAACAGCUAUUUUCCUCCUGUUUUUAUUCAGCAUGGUUCGUAAUGCAACACAUAUUUCAUUGUCUGUUUAUAUUAUUAAAUCAAAAUUCAUGAAAUAAAUGGGGAUUUGUAAAAUUUUGCAUUUAAGGUGAUUCUUAUUGUGAUUGUUACUUCUGCUGCAUGAAGGUUACAUUCUUAAAUGUACACCCAUGCUUUCAAGUUUUCAUUUUUUAAUUAGUACUGUUUGUUUAUGUUUGGAAAUGAAUGGAUGCUCAGGCCUUUUAUCGUCUGGUUGUUCAAGCAAUAAAAUAUAAGAGCCCAUGCUAA